rnacentral:tRNA from 1 species
GACUCAGUGGUCGAAUGGUAAAAUGUUCGCUGAGGAUCCAGAGAGUCCUAGUUUCAAUCCCUGAUGGAGUCG